rnacentral:tRNA from 1 species
GGAAGGGUUACGCCGAUGUGGUGGGGCGCACGGUGGUUCGCAGCAGCGCUGGGACGCCGCGGCGGCCCAGCACGCUCGGGUCCGCGCCGAGUUCUUCCA